CUCUCCUAGAAGGGAAACAGGACAAUUAAGAUAAGGCUUAAGAAGAGCCAGGAAGGUCACAGUGCUGAGGUCCACCAGGAAAUAGUCCUUCCCUGAGCUCUAUGCACACAGACCAGUGAAUAGCUGCCUUGGGACAGUAGUACGGUCUAUUACACAAGGAUUCAUCCUCACCAUAGCAUUCAUCAUUGCCCGGCAAUGCACCAGGUGCCAGGCACACAAAAGUGUGAGAACAAUCCUUGCCCCCAGGGAUCACUGCAAGCAGAGGUAACAAACCUAUUAUUUUUUUCAAAAGCUGAAUGAUAUGAAAAGAAACACAGGCAACAUCUUAAGGCAGAAAA